AUUGAACGCUGGCGGCAUGCCUUACACAUGCAAGUCGAACGGUAACAGGUCUUCGGAUGCUGACGAGUGGCGAACGGGUGAGUAAUACAUCGGAACGUGCCUAGUAGUGGGGGAUAACUACUCGAAAGAGUGGCUAAUACCGCAUGAGAUCUACGGAUGAAAGCAGGGGAUCGCAAGACCUUGUGCUACUAGAGCGGCCGAUGGCAGAUUAGGUAGUUGGUGGGAUAAAAGCUUACCAAGCCGACGAUCUGUAGCUGGUCUGAGAGGACGAUCGGCCACACUGGGGCUGAGACACGGCCCAGACUCCUACGGGAGGCAGCAGUGGGGAAUUUUGGACAAUGGGCGCAAGCCUGAUCCAGCAAUGCCGCGUGCAGGAUGAAGGCCUUCGUGUUGUAAACUGCUUUUGUACGGAACGAAAAGCCCUGGGUUAAUACCCUGGGGUCAUGACGGUACCGUAAGAAUAAGCACCGGCUAACUACGUGCCAGCCGCCGCAGUAA
rnacentral:rRNA from 1 species